GACGAACGCUGGCGGCGUGCUUAACACAUGCAAGUCGAACGGAAACGCACUGCUUGCUGGCUACUCGGGUGGCGAACGGGCGGGUAACACGUGGGUGAACUGCCCUGUACUUCGGGGUAAGCCUUGACGAAUGGGUCCAUUACCUGAUAGCGGCCACUAUCUGUGUGAUGGUUGGAAAGAUUUUUCGGUGUAGGAUGAGCGCGCGGGCUAAAGGCUGGUUGGGGGGGUAAUGGCCUACUAAGGCGGCAACGGGUAGCUGGCCUGGGGGGGUGGGCGGCGGCACUGGGUCUGAGGGACGGCCCAGGCGCCGACGGGAGGCAGAUGGGGGGAAGAUUGCACCAUGGGUGCCAGCCUGGUGCAGCGACGCCGCGUGGUGGAUGACGGCCUUCGGGUUGUAAACACCCUUCGCUAGGGACGAAGCUUUUUGUGACGGUACCUAGAUAAGAAGCACCGGCUAACUACGUG
rnacentral:rRNA from 1 species